rnacentral:rRNA from 1 species
AGUGAACGCUGGCGGUAGGCCUAACACAUGCAAGUCGAACGGCAGCACAGUAAGAGCUUGCUCUUACGGGUGGCGAGUGGCGGACGGGUGAGGAAUACAUCGGAAUCUACUUUUUCGUGGGGGAUAACGUAGGGAAACUUACGCUAAUACCGCAUACGACCUACGGGUGAAAGCAGGGGAUCUUCGGACCUUGCGCGAUUGAAUGAGCCGAUGUCGGAUUAGCUAGUUGGCGGGGUAAAGGCCCACCAAGGCGACGAUCCGUAGCUGGUCUGAGAGGAUGAUCAGCCACAUUGGAACUGAGACACGGUCCAGACUCCUACGGGAGGACGCAGUGGGGAAUAUUGGACAAUGGGGGCAAGCCUGAUCCAGCCAUACCGCGUGGGUGCAGAAGGCCUUCGGGUUGUAAAGCCCUUUUGUUGGGAAAGAAAAGCAGCAGGUUAAUACCCCGCUGUUCUGACGGUACCCAAAGAAUAAGCACCGGCUAACUUCGUG